GCAUUUUAGAAAGUGAUAUGGGAAAAAUAAAGCAGUGAAAGGGGAUAGGGUACUACAAUUUUAAAAGGGAAGGUGAGAAAACAUCUCACUGAGAAGAUGGCGUUUGAGAAAAGAACACCUUUGUUCAAAGCUAAAGUGAGCCAUACCAACACCUGGAGAAGAACACUCCAGCAAGAGUUUAUCCAACAUCUCUUAUAUAUCUCUGAGAUCCCAAUGUGUCUUGUUCCUGCUCUGUGUGGGCUCUGAUUGAUUUCACUUCUUUUAUUCUGCCCCAGGGCUUCCCAUUGAUAGUACUAUAGACUCGUGAGCACUUAAACCCACACAUGUGCAAGUUGGAAGGGCAUGGAAGUGCAAGUUGGAAGUUUAUCCACGUGGAUAAACUUCAACCAAUGCAAGAGAAGAUCAUCUGGAUGAGCUCUUCUUCCUUUGUGUUCCCCAGGAACACUCAAGGUUGCUCAAGAGUGUAUGCCAGUGAACUGAGCAGCUAACUGCAGUAACUGGAAGCAGGCUCAAUAACGUGUCCUUGCCCUGGUUCUUCCUCCUUCCCUGCAUCACUCUUCUUGCCCUUCUCACCUGUGCCCUGGGAUUGAACUCCCUGAAAACAUCACAUAAGCUCUAUGCCUCCAUUUCUGGGUAGCACAUGCUGAGGCACAAAUUGGAAAAGAAGUGCAAAAUCCUCAGAUGGAUAUGUGUUUGGCAUGCUAAAGAACAGCAAGAAGGCCACUGUAGUAAGAUCAAACAGAGCAAGGGGGAUGAUAUAAUAGAAUUUUGUCCAGAGGUAACGGAGGACCCAUCAUGUAGGGCCUUAUAGACCUUAACAGAACUUUGUCUUUGGUUCUAUUUGAGAUGAGAAGUUGUUGACAUCAUCUGCAUUAUGAUUUAACAGGAUGACUCUGGGCACUGUGUUAACAAGAGACUGAAGGGGACAAGAGUAGAAACGGAUAACCAGUUUGGAGUCUACUGUAGCAAUUCUGGUAACAGAUGAUGACGUCGGCCAGUAACAGCAGAAGUGAAAAUAUGUGGUAGAUUAUGGGUAUAUUGUGAGGGUAAAUCUAUUUGAACUUUUUUAUGGUGUGAGAAGGAAAGAAGAAGCAUGGACGACUCUAAGAAAACUUGAUUUGAUAUGAGCUAAAAGGGGGAAGAAAAGUAAAAAGCAGGUAAAGUUCAGAGACCCGCUCUAGAUGUGAUAAAUUAAAUGUACCCAUGAAACUCCAAGGGCAGAUGUCAAGAGAGCAGUUGCAUGUAUGUGUCUGGAUUUCACGAGAAAGAUCCAGAUUGAUAAUCAUUAAUGAGUUAUUAAGACUUAAAACCAAGAGAUUCAAUAAGAUUACCAAGGAAAUGAGUGCAACUAGAGAAAAGAAGAAGAUCAUUUACUGAGACGAGGAACACUCCAAUAUUAAAACGAGGGAGGUAGAGUGGAAUCAGUAAAGACUAAGGAAUGGUCAAUAAGGAGGAUGAAAACCAGUAGAGAGUGGUGUCUUGAAAGCCCAGUGAAAAAAGCACUUCAAAAAGAAAGGAAAUAUGUGAUUUAUCAGGUUGAAUGCUGCUGAAAGGACAAAUAAAAUGAGGAUUGAGAAUUUGACCUUUGGAUUUAGUAACUUGAAAUCAUUGUUGACAAGAGCAUCUUUACUAAAAUGAUAGAAACAAAGACACAAUUUGAGUGGGUUUAAAAGAGAAUGAGAAAGGAGGAACUAGAAGUGACUAUAUGCCAUAUUUUUUAGGGGUUUUGUGGUAGAGGAGAGCAAAGAAAUGGAGUGAUAGGCUACAGGGAAAAAUAGGGUAAAGAGAGGGUUUAUUUGAGAUUAUUAAAAUAAUAGCAUAUAAGUAGAUGAAUGAAAAUAAUUCAACUGGAGAAAAAAAUUGAUGAUGCAAGAGAGGAGCAUUUCUGGAGUAAUAUUCCUGAGAAUGUGAGAAGGCUGGAAUCUGAUAAACAAUUGAAGAGGCUGUCCUUACUAGGAACACGGACACCUCAUCUACAGCAAGAGGAAAAUACAGAUAUUUUGCCCUUUUGGAAACUGAAGAUAAAACAGAAAAAGAAAAGAAUUUUAAGAUAUGUUAAUCUAGCAAAACUAACAUAAGAAUGGCCACCGUGAAUUUCAUGAAAUUUUGCCACAGAGCAAUACUAAAAACUGAAUGAUUAUGCCUUUUUCCAUAUUUUAAUUAAAACUGAAAUGAAAAUACUCACUGUUGGAAAGUAAAGAAAUUAAGCCAUA
rnacentral:lncRNA from 1 species